rnacentral:misc_RNA from 1 species
UACGAAGGGUGCAAGCGUUGUCCGGAAUUAUUGGGCGUAAAGAGCUUGUAGGCGGUUUGUCGCGUCUGCUGUGAAAGCCCGGGGCUUAACCCCGGGUUUGCAGUGGGUACGGGCAGACUAGAGUGCAGUAGGGGAGACUGGAAUUCCUGGUGUAGCGGUGAAAUGCGCAGAUAUCAGGAGGAAUACCAAUGGCGAAGGCAGGUCUCUGGGCUGUAACUGACGCUGAGAAGCGAAAGCAUGGGGAGCGAACAGG